UACGAAGGGGGCUAGCGUUGCUCGGAAUUACUGGGCGUAAAGGGCGCGUAGGCGGAUAGUUUAGUCAGAGGUGAAAGCCCAGGGCUCAACCUUGGAAUUGCCUUUGAUACUGGCUAUCUUGAGUAUGGAAGAGGUAUGUGGAACUCCGAGUGUAGAGGUGAAAUUCGUAGAUAUUCGGAAGAACACCAGUGGCGAAGGCGACAUACUGGUCCAUUACUGACGCUGAGGCGCGAAAGCGUGGGGAGCAAACAGG
rnacentral:rRNA from 1 species